GAUACAUGAACAAGAUUGGGACUACAAAGUGGAAGCCCUGAAAAAUUCCGUUCUGAAAUCGGAGCUCUCUCGCCAGUGAUUCGAUCAGAGUUGUCAGGAAUAACCUCAAUUAUUUCAGUUGGCUUAGCAUGGUCUUCUCUUGGCCGAUUCUUCAUCAACUCCUCCUUCUUAACCUCAAUUAUUUAAGUUGGCAUUGGUUGCAGACCCAUUUGUCAUACACACUUAUUGGUUGUAGACCCAUUUGUCGAGGCUCAAAGAAAAAGAAGGGGGGAAAGUGUAUUCUUGCCAUAGAUUUUCUGUUGGCAGUGAGCCUUGAAGAAAAGGGAAGGUGAUUACAGCGGAUGAGGUGGCUUUUUGCUUUUGGCCUUUUGUUUUCUUCAUUUUGCUAAAUGUGGAGACUUGAGAAAAGAACUUCUAAUGUUGAACCCCAAUUCGAUGUGAAAACGUAACCUAAUCAUGUUAGCAUACAAACUUGAUUGUUAUUUUGUUCAAUUUACACCUUUAUGUUUCUAAAUGAAUAUAAAUUUCCAAUUUGUAUUCACAUUCGAAACCGAUGCUCAAAAAGCUACCCAGUAUCAACUCUA